rnacentral:lncRNA from 1 species
CCAUUCUCAGCACAGCCAGAAGGGGAGAGAGGAAGAGGAAGUGGGUAGGAGAAAGGGAACAUCAGGGUACAGGGUGCUAGGCAAAAGUGUUCUUAGAAAAACCGAGGCUGGUUAUCUGAAACCCUGACUGCUCUUUGGGGAUCCCCAAACGCGCAUGGCCAGGCCCCAGCACUGUCGCCAGCCUCCACCCUCACUCUCGGAGCCGAAGGUGCAGAGGCCGGGUUGGCCUUGACCCCAGCCUGCUCCACAGCCCACACUUCCCGGUCCGGUCCUCCGCGCCGCUCCGCUCCGCCUCCCCAGGACUCCCUGGUUCCUCGUGCACCUCUCCGUCCUCAACAGGCCCCAGGCCCGUAAGGCCAUGACUAGCAGCUCGUCCGCGAGGGUUAGUGCUCGGACUCUGGAAUCAAGUCCUCGGGAUGCACUCCAAAGCAGGCUCCGGCUUCCAGGUCGCUGCGUCCACAUCCAGGGAAGCGCUGGCCGCACCCGGGCGCGCCGGGCCGGGAUCCUCCCCUUCGACCUUCCCCGAGAUCUUGAAUCAGCCUCUGUUAAACACCUCACCCCAGCCCUGCUCACUUCCUUGCACAACUGCAAAGGCUCUCCUUUGCUCUGCUGCUCACUGACAGUAAUCCACAGGAGCACAAGACCUUUAAGAACACAGAUCAGAAACCCACAGAGCAGGCUUUCCCCGACACGUGGCCUUAGCCUUGCAGGUCCCCACGCCCGGAUCGCCCUCUCAGGCUCCUUCACAAGACCGUCGCUCUCCCACUGCCCUUCCACAACCCCACCUGCUCAAUCCCCACUGCCUCGCCACCUUCUGCCUUUCUUCCAGGGGGUUCACCACCUUCUGCAGUUCUCUCAUUGGCCUCAUUUGUGGGUCUGGAAUUCAUACUGGCCUUGGACUCACUGUGUAGCCCAGGCUGGCCUCGAACUCAUGGUGAUCCGUCCGCCUCAGCCUCCUGAGUGCUGGGAUUAUAGGUGUGGGCCACCACGCCAGCUGGAACUCCGCUUUGAUACCUCCUGAACCACAGCCCACUGCUGUGUGGCCAUCCGGGCAGGAGACCUGGCUGUCCUCAAUCAUCACUUCCUCUGCACUUGGCCUGGCACAGAGCAGAAGUCCGUAGGUGUUUGUUGGGUGGAUUCCCGAGUGAGGGGAUGAUCUAGGGAGGAGGAAAAGAUGGAGUGAAUGCAGCAGGGACUAGAGACGCCAACAAUCUCUGAGGCUCAGUUUCUUCAUCUGUAAAAGAUGGUGAUGAGGCUCUGGCCCCCUUUCUGGCUCCAGUGUGAGUCAGCUGCGAUGGGGCAGGAACCCAGAGGCCACUCCCUGCUGUCUAGGCCUGGCUCCAGGAAUGGGUAGGAGGCGCUGAAAUGACCAGAGUUCCCCUCCCCCACCCCCCGUCCCCCAGAAUUUAUAGAUUCUUCAUUGUCCUGCACAAAGGCCUUCUUGGGAGGGGCGGGGUGGGUGAGGAGACAGGGGAAUUAAAAAGUCAGAGGGUGAGUAACAGCCAGCCACACCCAGGGCCCCAUGAAUCCGCCUGGGCCCCUGUGAGACCACUGACUUGCCCUCAGAGGCUUACAGGGCUCCUGCUGCAGGGACCAGCUCGCCCUGCUCUCAGCCCUGGUGGCAGAGGGAUGGGGGCAUGUGAAUGUGUGAGGGGUGGCUCGCCUUGUGCGAUCUCCGAUCUGACCUCUGCGAGUCCUUCCUCCCAUCUUGCUCCCUGGUGGGUGGUCAGCUGUCGUUCUAGUUCGCUGCUGUUGGUUCUGAGCAGGAAAAUGUACAGUCUGCGGGUGCCUGCUUCUCUGAUGAGAAGGUCCCGAGGCCCAGACUCCAGGAAACAGCCUCCUCCCCCACUCUGGCCCCUUGGGUAGAAUUGACAGAUGGUGCCCUGUUAACAGAUGACAUUGGAAAUCGGAAUUACUCAGCUGCUUGUCCCUCUGUCAUCCCCACGGAAGGGGGUGGCCUGCAAACUGGGAACGACAGUGAACUCUAUUUUGAGGGCUAUAGAGGACAGGGAAGGAGAUGCUCCAGGGCACAGGGGACCAGAACCAGGUACACAGAAGAUCUAACUUGGAAUCUCAUCUCUACCACGUACCAGCCAGGUGACCUAGGUGCAUCCAUCACCGUCUGAGCCUCUGCUCCCUCAUCUGUCAAAUGGGUCCAUGGGAAACUGUCCUACUCUCCUCCCUGGCUUUUAGGAAGAAAAUGGGGUGGUUUGUGCUUAUAAAAUGGGCUUUAAAACUUGUGAAGGAGUAAAAAAUGUAAGAAGUUGCUGAUUAUAAACAAUAAAUGGCAGCCCAUUCGUUGUUCAUAAAA